rnacentral:rRNA from 1 species
CAGUCGCCGCGGUAAUACGAAGGGUGCAAGCGUUAAUCGGAAUUACUGGGCGUAAAGCGUGCGUAGGCGGUGAGUUAAGUCUGCUGUGAAAGCCCCGGGCUCAACCUGGGAAUGGCAAUGGAUACUGGCGAGCUAGAGUGUGUCAGAGGAUGGUGGAAUUCCCGGUGUAGCGGUGAAAUGCGUAGAGAUCGGGAGGAACAUCAGUGGCGAAGGCGGCCAUCUGGGACAACACUGACGCUGAGGCACGAAAGCGUGGGGAGCAAACAGGAUUAGAUACCCCCGUAGUCCCUGUCUCUUAUAC